CCAGUUAUUGGAGAUGUGUUUAUAUAUCAUAUCUAUCCACUUUUAUGCAAAUCCCAACUUUCGCAUUGCGCUACAUGGAUAGGGCCGGGCCACGCUACGUACUAUAUCAUAAGCCUUGGUCAUAUCAAGUUUCAUGAUCACAUUCCCCUCUUUUAUUGAUUUUCUUAUGUCUCUCAGAAUCUCUUGUGCUAGCAAGAUGUUCUCCGAUAUAGCUCUACCUUUGAUGAACCCACCCUGACUGAUAGCUAGAGAUAAUUUUAGGAAGCAAUUGAGCCAAUCUAGCAUUAAGGAUCUUAGCAAAGAUUUCCUU
rnacentral:lncRNA from 1 species